UACGUAGGGCGCAAGCGUUAUCCGGAAUUAUUGGGCGUAAAGAGCUCGUAGGCGGUCUGUCGCGUCGGAUGUGAAAACCCAGGGCUCAACCCUGGGCCUGCAUUCGAUACGGGCAGACUAGAGUUCGGUAGGGGAGACUGGAAUUCCUGGUGUAGCGGUGAAAUGCGCAGAUAUCAGGAGGAACACCGGUGGCGAAGGCGGGUCUCUGGGCCGAAACUGACGCUGAGGAGCGAAAGCAUGGGGAGCGAACAGG
rnacentral:rRNA from 1 species